UAUUCUUUUCUUGAUUCUCAUUUGCCAUACUCAUAGAAGAGGAAAGAAAAUGGUUUUAUAAAUUAAUUUUGUUUUCUUUAAUAUUUCAACCAAAAAAAAUUCAGUCUCUCCCUUCACUCAAUGGCAUUGACACCACCUCCCCCACCACCACCACCACCUUCACCCUUUUGAAGCAUCUUAGAGAGGGUUUUGUGCUUGUCCUGUUCUUGUUCUGUUUUUGUUCUGGAAAGAUAAGUUGUUCUUUUUUUUAGUGGCUUCUUUUUGUUGUUAAUGUUAUCUUCUUGAGUGAAGGUAGCUUAGUUUCAUGGUAAGAAAAACGGGCUGUUUUCAGAUUUGGAAACUGUUGUUUGUUAUGCUAAGAUUCAAGCAGGAUUUCAUCUAGCUCUCUGUUCUUGCUCUGUUUUCCCUGUUUCAGUAGAAUUCACAUGGAUUUGCUUGGUUCUGUCUCUUGUUACUUCUGUUCAGCUUCUUUAUUUGUGAGUCUUUGAUCUGAUUUGGAAGAAAAUAAAUAAGCCUUUCAGAAAGCAACUGAGCUGCCUUUCUUCUUAGAAACUUAAUCAAGAAACAGGGGAUUCAAUGGAGUCAGAUCUUCAACACCAGCAUCAUUUUCUUCAUGGUCAUAACCAGCACCAACAAAUUCAUCAGAAACAAAUGAAUUCUGGGUUGACAAGAUAUCAGUCUGCACCAAGUUCAUAUUUUUCAAGUAAUUUAGACAGAGACUUCUGUGAAGAGUUUCUCAAUAGGCCAACAAGCCCUGAAACAGAACGAAUUUUCGCGAGAUUUUUAGCCAAUUCCGGUGGCAAUACAGAGAAUAUACCAGGUUCAAAUCUUUGUGAGAUUAAGCAAGAUUCUCCAGUAAAAGAAUCAGUCUCACAAAUUAACCAGCAACCCCAGAUGAUGGCUUCAAUGAAUAAUCAUAGUAGUGAUACAAGGCUGCAUCAACAUCAACAUCAGCAGCACCAACAUGGCAAUUACUCUGCCUCACAGGGUUUUUAUCAAAGUCGAUCAAAACCUCCAUUACCAGAUCAUAAUCCAGGUUCUGGUAUGAAUCAUAGAUCAACGAAUUCAACGGGGUUGGAGAGGAUGCCUUCCAUGAAGCCUAGCAGUGGAAACAAUCCGAAUCUAGUUCGACACAGUAGCUCACCAGCAGGGCUUUUCUCCAACAUAAAUAUUGAAUUUGAAAAUGGCUAUGCUGUAUUGAGAGAUGUGGGAGAUCUUGGAGCAGGUAAUAGAGACACAACUUAUUCUGCAGCUGGUAGGCCACCUUCAUCUUCAGGGAUAAGGAGUACAAUUGCUGAAAUGGGAAACAAAAACAUGGGAGAAAAUAGCCCAGACAGUGGUGGUUUUGGUGAAACUCCUGGCAAUAAUUAUGAUUACCCUAUUGGAUCAUGGGAUGAUUCGGCUGUGAUGUCUACUGGGUCAAAAAGAUACCUUACAGAUGAUGACAGAACACUUUCUGGUCUAAAUUCAUCGGAAACUCAGCAGAAUGAAGAGGCAGGAAAUCGCCCUCCAAUGUUGGCUCAUCACUUGAGCUUGCCAAAAACAUCAGCAGAGAUGUCUACCAUUGAAAACUUUUUGCAAUUUCAAGAUUCUGUUCCUUGUAAGAUCAGAGCCAAGCGUGGUUGUGCCACCCAUCCAAGAAGCAUUGCUGAGAGGGUGAGAAGAACUAGAAUUAGUGAACGAAUGAGGAAACUCCAGGACCUUGUACCAAACAUGGACAAGCAAACAAACACAUCAGACAUGCUGGAUUUGGCUGUUGACUACAUUAAAGACCUUCAAAGACAAUUCAAGGCACUUUCAGAGAAUCGUGCAAGAUGUACAUGCUUAAAGAAGCAGCAGCCCUAGCUGAAAAAACCAAAAUGCUGGAUUUGGCUGUUGACUAUCAAGACAAGCUAUGGCAUGUUAUGAAGAAAGUUGAUCCGAGUAGCCUUCUCUGUGCUCAAGCUGCUGAGACUGGAAACUAUUCGAUCUUCAGCAGUCUGGGAUAAGAGGAGGUUAACCAGUCAGAGCGUCCUCAACCUUGCAAUGUCCUCAACCAAAAUUGAUGAUUCUUAUGUGCCAAUAUUACUAAUGGCAAGCAAUGCUGAGCUGAGGCAUGGAAUUCGUACUGCUGAAACGGGGAACAGAAACAUGGGAGAAUGGUGGUUCUCGUGAAGCUGUAGCAAUGAUCAUUUUGCUGGUUUGUCUACUGGAUAGUGGAAGCUUUAUGCGAUGUCUGCUGGUGCCAGUCAAUGAUCAUCGCAAACUAAGCAAACAGUGCAAUACGUAGCAGACUUGCUGGAUUUUGCUGUUGAUUACUUAUUUUACCUUACAAGAGAAGUUGAGCAGAAUAUUGAUCCCAGAACCCUGCUUUGUGUUCAAGCUGCUGAGACUAGAAAUCCCUAUGUCUUCAUCUAUUGAUCCCAGAACCCUGCUUUGUGUUCAAGCUGCUGAGACUAGAAAUCCCUAUGUCUUCAUCUGGCCAGCAUAAAAGGAUCUCAGACAGAGUGAUGGUCAUUGCCAAUCUUAACCAGACUUCUCGGUGCUGUUGUUAUGUUUGCUAGAUUUGGAGAGAGAUGAAUUCAAGACAUCACAUUCUGAUAUUAUUCUAUAGAUCCCACAACUCGAGCCCUACCUGAUUUUCUAACCCUUUUUAUUUUAUUUUAUGGAGCUCCAUUUAUCAUCAAUAUUACUAAUAUGACAAGUCUAUUUUUAUUUUAUAGUUCAUAAAGUAUUGUUAUAAUUUUAUACAUGGAUAUGAACUUUAGACUCUAUUUCAUGGUUC